GGUGUACCAACUUGUGAGUCGCUCUGGAUAAGAGCGUCUGCUAAAUGACGUAAA
rfam:Salmo salar isolate Sally breed double haploid chromosome ssa19, whole genome shotgun sequence.